UACAGAGGGUGCAAGCGUUGUCCGGAAUCACUGGGCGUAAAGGGCGCGUAGGCGGCCGGGUAAGUAGGGGGUGAAAUCUCAUGGCUCAACUGUGAGGCUGCCUUCUAGACUGCCUGGCUGGAGCAUGGUAGAGGCUGGUGGAAUUCCCGGUGUAGCGGUGGAAUGCGUAGAGAUCGGGAAGAACAUCGGUGGCGAAGGCGGCCAGCUGGGCCAUUGCUGACGCUGAGGCGCGAAAGCCAGGGGAGCGAACGGG
rnacentral:rRNA from 1 species